UUUUGGCUGGAAGAAAUGGUUAGCAGGUUAUGUGCAGAACCUGAAAAAAAAAAUAGUGGAAAAGUGCAUGUGCUUUAAUAGAAAAAAAAAGUACAUCAGUGAAGUGGUUGGUGUAGUCAGAUGCAUAAAACGUACUUUGCACCUUGCCGUCCACUUGUAGCUGUUUGUCCACUAUAGGAAUUUGCCAACUGGCGUAAAUAAACCAAGUGCCGUUUUCCAGAUUAGGAUUCGGCACUUCGUCAUAAAUUAUAAUAACUCAAUCCUAAUUUAUAUAAUAACCCAGCCAUAAUUUAUAUAAUAACCCAGUGUGUAAAUUAUAAUAACCCAGUGGUAGAAUUUUAAAUUAAUUUAAAAUGAAACGUCAAAACACACAACUGCUUGAUUAACGGCCAACCACCAAAAGCUCCAAGUCGCAGCUGUGCUGGACACAUCAGCUGUCUGGGCAACGCAAACAGAUGAGCUGUUGCUAGCUGCAGACGCUCAUUGAGCACAGGAGAAUUGCUUCCCAGCAGGUUGUGUUUCUACUGCAAAACACCUGCGUCCGGCAGCCUUGCGAUCUCCAUUGGCUAUUUGCUCCGCACUUGUGGUGGCAUCGAGGCCGAGUAUCUGCGUCACCCAGGAGGAAGGCGAACGGCAGCUUAUUUUUUUUUUGUUUGUUUGUUUAUUAUUGUUAAUUUACGUUAUGUUGUUUAACUAUGCAUCUAUAAGUGAUAGUCCAUCAAUGUUGUAAGUGUAAUAUGAUGUGGCGAGAAAGUUGAACCAACAACUUUUCUGGGUCCUUCAUAAUACAAGUACCACUGUACUAUUGUAUAAAAUA